rnacentral:rRNA from 1 species
UACGUAGGGUGCGAGCGUUAAUCGGAAUUACUGGGCGUAAAGUGUGCGCAGGUGGCCGCGCAUGUCGAGUGUGAAAUCCCCGGGCUUAACUUGGGAAUUGCGCUCGAAACUACGUGGCUCGAGUGUGGUAGAGGGGAGUGGAAUUCCCGGUGUAGCGGUGAAAUGCGCAGAUAUCGGGAGGAACACCAGUAGCGAAGGCGGCUCCCUGGCCAUUCCUGACGCGUGAGACGCGAA